CUUGAAUUUACAUGCAAAAACUAAUUGUCAUUCAUGGGGAUAAAUUUUACAUCAUUGCCAGCAUAAAGUGAUUUUCUCUAGAAGCAUGGUCAUCCGGACUUCAAAGGCAAAAGCAUGUAAAAUGCUACUAUAAGAUGCAAAGAAAUUAUCAUCAAAAUCUGCCUCCUUUACUACAUUUCUAACAUAAAUAUUAUCAGACCCAAAGUAGACAGAGGGCAGCAGUUCACAUUGCAAAACAAUCCACAGCAAAUGGUAAUAUGUUAAAAGUUUAUAAUUGAGCAUCGCCUGUUUAUUCUCCAGCCUCUGCCAUUAGAUGCCUCAUCUAUCAUGGCUUUUUCCUGUUUAUGUAGUUUCAGACACCACUGUCCUACCCAUAUUGUUUUCAUAUCAAUGAAUAAACCUAAGAUUCUGCUGGUGGAAUUGCAUCCUUCAAGUUGCAAUCAACAUUAUUGGCUGCACCAGAAGAGCUGCAGAAGAGGGGUUCAGUUAUUCUUGGAAGAACAGGUCCAUCAAUGGCAAGCUUGGGCUCAGAUGGAAUGGCUUCUCUCUCAAACAGAGUUACUGGUAAGCUUGUCACUGUUGCAGAAUCAGAGUCUGCCUUCAAGACGUUAGUGGCACCAGAAGGAUUACAAAGCUGGGUUUCAACCAUCCUUUGAGGAGAUCCUUCGUUGGCAAGCUUGGGUGCAGAUGGAACAGCUUCUCUCUCAAACAGAGUCACUGGAAGGCCACCUAUCAGCGCAGACUCUGAGUCUGCCUCUGUAACAUUAGCAGUAUGACUUACUGGCCUCCUAUUUAGGUGGGAUGCAUCAUUUCCACUAAUAACAUUCAUAGCAAGCUCUGGCACUGCAGCUUUAUUUGGAGAAGCCAGUUUUUCCAUCCAAAUUUUUAUACCAAUUGGUUCAGCAGACAUAAUUUCAGGUUCAGUUAUUACACUAACUUGGUUAUGCUCAAGGUUUGGACUUUUAACUCCAUCAUGAAGUGAUUGAUUCGGCUUAAAUUCAUCACUCAUGGCCUGAUGUUGAAUUUGAAGCUCAAGAUUAACAGUUCCACUGGUAGGAAUACAAUCAACAGAAGGUGCUGACUUUGGUACUGAUUUUGAUUGCUCAGUUGCCUCCACCAUUGCAUUAGGAACUUUUGUUAUGGAACCUUCAAAUUCUUUCAGCACUUCAAUUUGUUCAGCAAAUUUAUCAUGACCCAUCUGUGGCAUAAUAGAGGUAGACUGGCUUCCAAGUCCUGAUUCCAGAAUUUGCUGUGAUGCAGCUCUGCCUCCCAAGGAAGAUCCUGUGCUACUCAUUGGCAGGUUAUCAGUCAAAGGAAGGAUAUUAGAGGUAGGUUGGUUUUCCUGUGGAAUGGAAACAGUCGAUUGAAGUUCAGAUGGUAGCCCUUGGACUUGCACUAUUGGUGCAAGGUUUUGGAGUUCAACUGGUUGCUUAUCACUUUGCUCUGAUGAAGGAACAGGGCCAGGGACCAGAGUUUGAGGAUUUGCAACUGAUAUGGGUAUCUCUGUCCUAUUAUACAUUUUUGCUUGUGGAGCCACAUCAUUUGAUGCUGUGAUGGGAGAGAAUCUGCCCGGUAGAAACACAACACCCCUCAGAUGAGUGUCAGUAUCACCUACCUUAACUUUAAGAAGAUAUCCAGCAUCAAAUGAGCCCUCAAUGACACCAGAAACAACUUGACCCACCAUUUCAUCACCAACAGAACCAAUUGUACAUGCAGACUGUUUGUUUUUCUUCAUACUAUCAGCUGCAGGUGUUGCAGGAACGUUCUCACCUUGUGCCAGGCUCUCAUCCUUGCGGGGACGGCCCCGUUUGCGCUUCUGUGGGGGGUCUGCUGGAGAGCAGCCAGUCCCUUGAUUCUGCGGGUUCAUCUUGCAAGUUGAUAGGAGAAGGUUGUUUUUAUACAAUUAAAAUUUUCUUGUAGCGAUGGGAUAUUAGAAUUUGAAUCACUAGUGGAGCCAAAAGGAUGUUCAAGGAAUCAACGACAAAACCGUGUUUCCGCUUCUCUAAUUUUUUUUCUUUUGGCGUUUGUUGUUUGGCUCGUGAGAAA
rnacentral:misc_RNA from 1 species